GCAGACCUGCUGCCCGCGGCCAGGCCGGGCAGCUGUUGAUCCCCGGGCCAUUCUUUUAAAGCCCAGGCAGAGCGCGGGUGGGAAGCGUGCGAGGAGAGCUGAGCCAGGGAGUUGCGGGGAGGAGAAGAAUUAGAGGAGACAGCACUGAUGGGAGUGACAGAAGCGGUGCCGGUUAACUCCCCACCAUCAAAAGUAUCUUCUGCUGUAGUCUGGCACAAGGCACAACAGAUUCCUGUAGUGAGCUGCAUGCAAGGAAGAAGCCUGGUAGGAGUGAAAGGUUAAUAGCCAAGAAAGAAAGAAGGAAGAAGAAAACAGCUCCCCGUACAGAGACAGAGGAAGGGGGGAUUUGAACAAAGAAAAAACCCCGUGUGCGUCGGAAAAGUGGCUGCUUAUACGUAUCCCAAAUCUAAAGGAAGUUUUUUUUUUUUUUGAGACGGAGUCUCGCUCUGUCCCCCAGGCCGGAGUGCAGUGGCGCAAUCUCUGCUCACUGCAAGCUCCGCCUUCCGGGUUCACGGCAUUCUCCUGCCUCAGCCUCCCGAAUAGCUGGGACCACAGGCACCCGCCACCACGCCCGGCUAAUUUUUUGUAUUUUUAGUAAAGACGGGGUUUCACCGUGUUAGCCAGGAUGGUCUUGAUCUCCUGACCUCGUGAUCCACCCACCUCGGCCUCCCAAAGUGCUGGGAUUACAGGCGUAAGCCACUGCACCCAGCCAAUCUAAAGGAAGUUUUAAAAGGUUACUUCCUUUUGAUUUCUGUUAAGAAAAGGGAGUGUUUAUGUGUUUGUUUCCAAAUAUUAUUUCUCAGCUGAAAAUCCAUUUUUUAAAACACUACCUUAAAAGUUCUUCUACCACUCCUGUGGAAAUAUAUGAGCCCAUCUUCAAGAAAUAACAGUUUGAAAUGUGAAAACUUAAGCUUUCCUUUAAGAAAGAGGAAUAUGAACUAGAACGGCAAUGAGGCUUCUGUGUUGUUGUUGUUUAUUUUUUGACUAGCCUUGAUUAAAAAGGGAACAAUUGUGUACUUCUGGUUAGCCUGGGGAAAGUUACAGCAGCCUAAAUUCAAAUCUCUGCAUAUAUCAACCAACAAGUAGAGCAAUACAACCACAUACAUGGCAAAAAAACUUCAAAUUACCUAUGAAUCGAAAAGGAGGCAACGAAUCUAUAGAGUUAUACCUCAAGUCCCUGACCUAAGCCUUUGCAGAGAAUGAGGGGAGACCCAUAGAAGGAUAAAGAAGAAAAGGAAAGACAGGGGUCAAAAUUGGAAAUAAAAUAACCCAAGAAAGAGAAAAGUCCAUCCUAUGUGUAAAAAGAGCUCUGGGAGAUUGGUAAAUGGGAGUACAGAGCAGGGCCUAAGAGUGAGUAGGGACAAAAACACUGAUGUUAGAAAGGCAUCAUUUCUGGAAAGAAAGGAGGAUAAAAAGGGGAGUGCAAGAAGGAAAAAGUAUCCAGCAGGAAAAAUGAGAACCCAAACCAAAAGACUAUCCAUCACUACUGCCAUCAUGCACAAAAAAAGAAAAAAGUUAUUCAUUGAAAAAAAUCACACUAUGCUACAUUUUCAGAAGAGGUUUGCACUUGGACUAGAAAACACAAAAUAAUUAAUAGAUGAAAAAAUGCCUAUAUAAAUAUCCAAAGCUUCUUUAAAAAGAUAACAAACAUGAAAGUCAAAUAUUUCAGCUAAUGAAAUCCACACCACUGAACGAUAAAAUCUCACAAAACAGAAGAAAAUUAUGCAGAAUUAAAAGUUGAACUAAAUAUCCUCAAACGAGCAUUCAGAAAUAUUAAAAAAGCAAUUUAAACAAGAAAUUCAAAAACCAAGAACAGAAAUGGGGAAAAAAGCAGAAAGAAAGAAAUAGUUUAUUAGACAUAGAAAGGGAAUGGAAGAAAAGGAGAAUACUAUCAAAAAAAAAAAAUAAAAACUGAAUCACAAGAUGAUAAAAAGAAAAAUUCAAAUAAUGAAGGAAUUGAAGUAAAGGCACUAAAACAAUGAUGAAGAAUGAAAAUGAUACCAGAGAAAGAAGUGAGAAGUACCAGAGAAAGAAGUGAGAAGUAUCAGAGAAAGUGGUAGAAAUAGAAGAAAGGCACAUAAUUAUAACUGGAGUGCCUGAAAAAGAAAACCACAGCAAUGAAUCAAAACUAGUGUUUAAAUUAUAAUCCAAGAAAACUUUCCAGAAAUAAAAGAAGACCUGAAUCGGCAUUUGGAAAGGAUCCAGGGGGUACUGGAAAAAAUUAAUCUGGUAUGGUAAACUAACUCAAGACAUCUUUCAGUAGAACUAUGAAAAAUGAAGAAAAAUUCCUCAGAACCUCCAGGCACAAAAGUCACAUAAUUUAUAAGGGACAGAAGAAUUUGGCUAGCAUCAGACUUGUUAAAAGAAACAUACAAACCAAAGCAGUGGUGUAGAUGCAUUUUUAAGAAACUUUAAAAAUUGAGAACCAAGGAUUUUAUAUCUGGCCAAUCUGUCAUUCAAGUACAGACGUUAUUUUAAAAAGUUUCAAAUAUGCAACAAUUGAGGAAAUAACAGUAACUUUCCUAAAUUCAAAAAGUUUAAAAUAAAGGAGAAUCAUAUACAGAAACAAAGCAAAUAUAGUCAAAUACACAUAAAACUUACAACAAAGGUUUUCACAUUAUCUCACAAAGCAAAGACAGACUCCAUUUAUGCUACACAGGGAAGACAAACAAAAACAGAUUCAGAAAGGUGAAAAAUAGAAUGAUGGCAGCAGCAUGGCAGGCAAAUGCCAUUUCCAUAUGGAAACUAAGGAAGACAUUUAAAGCAAGGAUAAGAAGCAAAUUCAUGGCCUCAAAAGCUUUAGCAAUAAAAAUGAAAGAGUGAAAAUAAAUGAAUUAAAUCCUUGACUUAAAAAUCUAAAUAAAGAAUAACAAAAUAAAGCAAAAAAAGUACAUGAAAGGAAAUACUCAUGAGAAGAAUAGUCUAUUAUAUCUACCCCUCUGUGUAUCUAUUUUGCUGUUUUAUAUUUCUUCCCUACAUUCUAGGAUUCCUUCUUGCAUCUCCUUUUUGUUUCCAGAACUUUUUAAAUUUUAAGUUCUGGGUACAUGUGCAGGAUAUGCAUGUUUGUUACAUAGGUAAACGUGUGCCAUGGUGGUUUGCUGCACCUAUCAACCCAUUACUUAGGUAUUAAGCCCAGCAUUCAUUAGCUAUUUUUCCUGAUGCUCUCCCUUCCCCUACCCUCCCCUGACAAGCCCCAGUAUGUGUUGUUCCCCUCCCUGUGUCCAUGUGUUCUCACUGUUCAGCUCCCACUUAUAAGUGAGAACAUGCAGUGUUUGGUUUUCUGUUCCUACAUUAGUUUGCUGAGAAUAAUGGCUUCCAGCUCCAUCCAUGUACCUGCCAAGGUACAUGAUCUCAUUUCUUUUUAUGACUGCAUAAUAUUCCAUGGUAUAUAUGUAUCACAUUUUCUUUAUCCAGUCUAUCAUUCAUGGACAUUUGGGUUGAUUCCAUGCUAUCAAAAAAGAGUUUAUACAGCCAAGACAAUCCUAAGCAAAAAGAACAAAGCUGGAGGCCUCAGGAUACCUCACUUCAAACUAUAUUACAAGGCUACAAUAACCAAAACAGCAUGGUACUGGUACAAAAACAGGCACAUAGACCAAUGGAAGAGAAUAGAAAACUCAGAAAUAAAACCACGUAUCUACAACCAUCUGGUCUUCCACAAACCUUACAAAAGAACUUCAGUUAACCAUUCUUUAAGGUUCUCUGCUAGCCACAAAUUAUCUUAAUUUUCAUUGAUUAGAGAAUGUCUAUUUCCCCUUCAUUCCUAAAGGAAACAUCCACUGGAUAUGUAAUUCAUCUUGACAAAUGUUCUGCCCCAACCUUCUGGCUUCCUUACUUUCACCUGAGAAGUCUGCUACAAUUCAACUCAAUUUUGCCCUGUAGGUGAUGUGUCAUUUCUCCAUACCUGCUUUCAAGAUUUUUUUCUUUUCAUUUUAAAAGUUAACUUAUAAUGUAUCUUGGCAUGGAUUUCUCUGGGUUUGUCUUACUUGGGAAUCGCUCAGUAUCUUCACUCUGCAGGUGUGUCUUUCACCACAUUUGGGGAGUUUUAGCAAUUAUUUCUUAAAAUGCUAUUCAGCCCCACUCUCUUUUUCCAUUCCUUCUGAAAUUUUGAUGAUACAAAUAUUAGAUCUUUUGUUACUACACCAUAGGUCCCAGAGGCUCUGUCCUUUUUCCUGUGAUUUUCUCUCAAUUUAGAUUGGGAGAUUUCUAUUGUUCUGUCUUCAAGAGCACUGAUUGCUUCCUCUGUAAUAUUCACUCUGCUACCAAGUCCAUUUAUUAAAUUUUAAUUUCAGUUAUUGUAUUUUUCAGUUCUAUAAUCACCAAGUUGUUCUUUAAAAAAAAAAUUCUGUGGUGAGAUUUUAUAGCCUUUUCAUUUGCUUCCAGAGUAUUUAAAACUGCUCCUUGAAGUGUUUUUAUGAUGACUGCUUUAAAACCCUUGUCACAUAAUCCCCACAUCCUAUUCAUCUCAGUGUUGACAUCUGUUGACUGUCUUUUCUCAUUCAAGUUGUUAUUUUCUCCAUUCUUGCUAUGAUGAGUGGUUUUUCUACUGUGUCCAGUACAUUUUUUAUGUUAGAGACUGUGGAUCCUAUUUUAAAUUUCUAUUUCAGCAGACAGUCACUUUGUUUUUAGGUUUAUCAUGCAAGUCCUGGCCUACUUCUGUUUGCUAUAGUUACAAUGACAGUUUAGUUUUCAGAGCCUUUGCAGUACCAGUGCUAUUCUGGUCAGCUUGAUUCAUCUGGUGCCCUGGUGCUCCGUCUCAGCCUCAAAUCAUGCUACCAAUGUAGGAAGAAUGUACUUCCCAUGUCCUGUUGCCAUGAGGUGGAGGUUGAGAGACACCAGGAUUGUGGGCUAGGAGGUCGGUAAAGAGCAGAGGGCUCUUUCCUGGGCUGCCUAGUCCUAGCAGGGCAUCUGUUAGAUCCCUGCUGCUGCUACCUGCAUGGGCAGCCUUCUUGGAGGGAAUAGUAGAUACCAGACCCACAGCAUGGAGAGCAUUUCCCUGGACCCUCUUUCUGAGUGUCUUCUGCCACUGGAUGGAGUUUCAGGAGAUGGCAGCCUGUAGUGUUUUUCUGUGAGUUCUGAGGUACCUAACUAGUCUGCCUUUCUAUAGCAUUAGGCUGGGAUUGGAGCUAUAAUUAUGAAAUAAUUAUUUCAUACACACACACACGUGUGCACAUACGUGCAGUGAAAGGGCCUAGAAACAAGGACACACUGGUAGUAAUGAGUGCACAUACCACUCAGGUCUUGGUUUCCAAAUACCAUUCUCCUCUAAAAGGAACCAGGGCUCCUUGGAAAAAUGGCUGAUUCCAAGGCUAGCACGAGGAAAAUCAAGAAAAGCCUGGAGCAUUAUAAAUUUAUAAAGACAUGUCAAAAAGACAUCCAGCUUAGGAACAUUCAAAAUGGCUAGGCCUGGAACUGAUAUUUGUGUAUAACAUCUGGUUUUUUUCAUAUAGAUAGACUAUUCCAGCAUCAUUUAGUGAAAAGUGACCUGCAAGACAAUCUUGCUGAAAUUGCUUUGAAUCUGAACAUCAACUGGGGAGAACUGAAUUACAUGAACCUUCAUACAUAUAAAUGUGUUUUAUUUUUCUAUUUAUAUCUUAGAAAUUUUAAAAUAAAUUUCCCCAUACAAAUACUGUAUGUAUUUUGUUAGAUUCAUUCAGAUCCUAUGCAUUUUUCUUCCUAAUACAUAAGGCAUAUUUUAAAAAAAUAUGUUUUCUGUGUGUUGCCAAAGAAUAGAAAUGCAAUUGAUUUUUUAAUAUUAAACUUAUAUCUAGC
rnacentral:lncRNA from 1 species